rnacentral:rRNA from 1 species
AGUGAACGCUGGCGGUAGGCCUAACACAUGCAAGUCGAACGGCAGCACAGUAAGAGCUUGCUCUUACGGUUGGCGAGGGACGGACGGGUGAGGAAUACAUCGGAAUCUACUUUUUCGUGGGGAAUAUCGUAGGAAAACUUCCGCUAAUACCGCAUACGACCUACGGGUGAAAUCAGGGGAGCUUCGGACCUUGCGCGAUUGAAUGAGCCGAUGUCGGAUUAGCUAGUUGGCGGGGUAAAGGCCCACCAAGGCGACGAUCCGUAGCUGGCCUGAGAGGAUGAUCAGCCACACUGGAACUGAGACACGGUCCAGACUCCUACGGGAGGCAGCAGUGGGGAAUAUUGGACAAUGGGCGCAAGCCUGAUCCAGCAAUACCGCGUGAGUGAAGAAGGUCUUCGGAUCGUAAAGCCCUUUUGUUGGGAAAGAAAAGCAGCAGGUUAAUCCCCCGCUGUUCUGACGGUACCCAAACAAUAAGCCCCGGCUAACUUCGUG